rnacentral:rRNA from 1 species
GAUGAACGCUGGCGGCGUGCUUAAUACAUGCAGGUCGAGCGAACGGACGAGAAGCUUGCUUCUCUGUUGUUAGCGGCGGACGGGUGAGUAACACGUGGAUAACCUACCUAUAAGGCUGGGAUAACUUCGGGAAACCGGAGCUAAUCCCGGAUAAUAUUUUGAACCGCAUGGUUCAAAAGUGAAAGACGGUCUUGCUGUCACUUAUAGAUGGAUCCGCGCUGCAUUAGCUAGUUGGUAAGGUAACGGCUUACCAAGGCAACGAUGCAUAGCCGACCUGAGAGAGUGAUCGGCCACACUGGAACUGAGACACGGUCCAGACUCCUACGGGAGGCAGCAGUAUGGAAUCUUCCGCAAUGGGCGAAAGCCUGACGGAGCAACGCCGCGUGAGUGAUGAAGGUCUUCGGAUCGUAAAACUCUGUUAUUAGGGAAGAACAUAUGUGUAAGUAACUGUGCACAUCUUGACGGUACCUAAUCAGAAAGCCACGGCUAACUACGUG